GGAUUGUGGCUCAGUGGUAGAGCGCUCGCCUAGCAUGUGCAAGGCCCUGGGUUCCAUCCUUAGCACCA
rnacentral:tRNA from 1 species